UACGUAGGGUGCAAGCGUUAAUCGGAAUUACUGGGCGUAAAGCGUGCGCAGGCGGUUGUGUAAGACAGAUGUGAAAUGCCCGGGCUUAACCUGGGAACUGCAUUUGUGACUGCACGGCUAGAGUGUGUCAGAGGGGGGUAGCAUUCCACGUGUAGCAGUGAAAUGCGUAGAUAUGUGGAGGAAUACCGAUGGCGAAGGCAGCCCCCUGGGAUAACACUGACGCUCAUGCACGAAAGCGUGGGGAGCAAACAGG
rnacentral:rRNA from 1 species